CUUUUAAUUGAGUGCUGAAAGGGGAAAGAUGAGGAAAUAUUUCAGUAUCUGUCUUGUAAUCUGAUAUUAUGUAAAAUCAAAUGCCACUUUUGGCUUUCUAGCUUGUUCUUGCAUUAGCCAUCUUCCCUGAAAUCAUUCCAGGUAUGCACUUACUGAGAGCAUUCACAUAUGUCAGAAAUCCUGAGUGCAAAUUAGAUUAUUUUUAGAGUUUUUUAUUUUUGUUUAAAGGUUAGAAAUAUUUGCUGAUUGAGGCCACCCUUUCCCACAUCCUCCUUCAUUGCUUAUAUGCCUCAUAUUUUAUACAUUUUAUUUGGUACAUUAUUCUUUAAAAGAAAAACUGAACUACAGAUGUACUAUAGCUCUUGUAAAGUAGAUGUCUUCAAAUCUGAAAUGAAAUAGCUGACUAAAACCAGGAACACUUGAGGAAUCUAGUUAAUUACCUUCUCCACAUUAAGGGCUGAGCCCUGUAUGCUUUAAAAGGCCCUGCCUUAUUAAUGCUGAGAAAUGAGGUUGAACAGGAUUAUGUUUGCAAAAUAAGGCACAUGAAUGCUAAUAAAGUGCUGAAAUUGCUGAAGUGUAAUCAUGAUACUGUGUUCAGGGUGUGGGUUUGAAUGCACUCAGUGUUGGAUUGGGUGUGUGUAGACUAGAGUAUCAGUCACUUUUAAUAAGAAAAUAUAUUUGUGUGGAAUAAAUAUUUCCAUUCUGUUUCAUACAUUAUCAGAAGAAAGAUACAAUAGGACACGACCUUCACAGCCAUAUUGCAAUGGAGCCUAUUUACUAGCUACAUAAGCCCUGAAAUAUUUAAAGUGGCAGUGUCCUUUGAUGGUUUUGUUAUCUAAGAUGUCAAGGCAGAUCAAUUGCAAGAAUUGAAACUGAGAAAAAUAGAAGCUCUGAAAUUUUAAUGUAGAAUGGAAUUUGUCUUGGUGUUAAAUGCUGCCUUAACUGAAUAACUGGCACGUGCACUUUACCUUGUGUCCCAUAUCAGACUAUGAGGAUAAAUGCCUCUUUGGUUUUUUUAUGGAGUUAUCACUUCUAAAUAUAACUAGACUGUUCUCUGAAGUUCAGUGACACUACCUUUUUUUCUACUUUUAAAGGAACACUCUUGAAAGAGGGUCUGUUUUUCAGUACAUGUGAUCAAUAAAAUAAAUUGCAGUAAGAGAAACUGUAUUGUUGGGGUUAGUUUAAAAUGCAGUAUACUCAGUGAUGCAGAAUAAAAUGUUUAAAAGUGCUGCUUUCUUUCAUUUAAACAAGUGUUGCCUACAGACUUCAUUUUGCUGCUUCAUUUUGUUUAAAGGGAGAGUUGCUAUGUUCCUGUUGGAUCUCCAGUGUUGGGGGAGGAGCAUGCUCCUGCCGAUCAUUUCAUGGUGGGCAUGUUGUGAGUGGAGCCGGCUGGAGCUGGGGGUCAGACUAGAUGGCCCGGGAGGCCCCUUCUGACUCGCUCUGUUUCUAUGUCUCUAUGUCAGUCUGGAAAGCCUUUUGGAGAUAGGUGUUUUUUGAAGAUAGGGAUCAUUCUACCUUUACUUAUAGUACUUUGUCACUAUAUUCUAUAAAGUCUGCAAGAUGAUUAGAUGGCUCUAGCAAUAUAUAAGUUUCCAUAUUAAUGCCUACAAUUAUAGCUGGUUAGGUUAAAAAUAUCAAAUAACUUCCUAUUCACAAUUAAACUACUAGAACAAGGAAAUGCACAUUUUCUAUAUUUUCUUUGCAGUUUUUACAGCCCAACCAUUAGUAAAUCUUUGAUAAAGGAAAAAGACUAUUCAGACUCAAAAUAAAUGCUUUGUAUAGGAAAAGUGAACAUAAGGUAGCAGUCUUAGUACUAGAAAUUAAAUGGUUCAUAUUAUUUAAUGCUUUAUUUCAGAAAAAGCAAACAUAAUUGGUAUAUAAGAAAUGUGAUCUUCAACUGAAACAUGACCUCACCAUUGCAGCUUAAUGACCUGAGGCUAUCCUCCGUGAAAUAAAGAUCCUAGGAAUCAUUACAUUUCAUAUAGAGGGCAUAUCUAGUUAUUCCUCUUUCUCAGGAAUUCAUAAGAGUGUUGGUUCUGGUAUUGGGAGGAAGUUACCUAUCCAGGGCCAGCCCAAGAUAUUUUGUUGCUGAAACAGAGCAGCAAAUGGUGUCCCUAAAUACCCAAGUCACACUGCAUAGUAUCAAAAGCCAGGCAAGUUGUAGCAGAUGCUCACACAAGCAUCUCUCCUGAUUUCUGGCAGUAAAAAUAUACUAAUACAAUUUGCUUUUCUUUCAUAACAUCCCAAAUCUGUUGCCUGAAGCUACUCAACCUAGUGGCAGGGGCAGCCCUACUCCUACAGAAUUUUCAGCAUUCUCAUCAAACUUAAAGUACUUAACCCAGAUUUAAUUGAGUCAUGAUAUAACAUGAUAUAAACCUAAUAUAGCAUUGUAGCAUAGCAGUAUUUUUAUUGUGCAGAUGUUGACAGUGAAACACUUGGUGUUGGGAACUUGCACUAAUAGAAAUACAAAUUGGUGCAGUUAUUUUUAAAACAACAUUGCUUAAUGUUUUCCUAUAAAGUUUGUUACAUAUUGUACUAGUUGGUGCUAUUUGACAAUAUUUUGGUUUUGUAGUUUUAACUCAGUGUGUUUACUUGAAUGAUGUUGGGCCUUGCCAGGUGAAUUGGCAUGACACAGCAACCCACUGUGUGAAUUAGCUAUGUGGUGAACAACCCACAAUGUGCGGAGCAGAUCAUUGAGCUUACUGAGGCUUAUCCAACUGCCACUUCCAUCUUGGAAUUUCACUCAGUAUCCCAGAGAUAAAUUUUUGGACGUUCCAAAGUCACAGCCAGUUAUAGCCCCUGCAGAGUGCCCAGGUGGCACAUUAGAGAGGUUGGUGCUAGUUUGUCACUUGCUAUUUAUUUCUAAGUGAAAAAAAUGUGUAUUUUUAGUUUAUCAUAAUUCAUUUAUUUGCUUUCCAUCCACAACAUCCAUAUGGCCCAAUUGUGUCUAUGAAUUUAAGAUAUCAUAACAUUUAAGCAGAUAUUUAAGACAAGUAGUACUUACUGGAAAAAGGUCUUGCCUUGCUGAAAGUAUUAAUAAGAUGGUUCAGGGCACAGGCAGUCUCCAGGUUACAAACUGGUACAAUUCCUGAGAAAAUAGAAAUUUGUCUUUAAGUUGAUUUUGUAUGUAAUCAUGUAGAGUUGACCCUUCACAUUUGUGGGGGUUAAGGGUACAGGACCCCCAUGAAAGUGAAAAAACUGCAAAUAUCUCUAGCCCUCCCCACCAAACUCACCAGCAUCUCCUCUUUGCAAUAAGGAAAUGCUGAGAAGAUUUUCUCUCUGGAUGGGUGAGACAGGAAGGCCUCCCUUUCUCCACUUUUGCUUCCUCUCUGUAUUGAUGCUUUGGAGGCUCCCUCUUUUUGGCAAUGACAAUUUAUGCCUAAUUUUUAAAAAAUCAAUAGGCUUUGUGCCAGUUUGUUCAUAGAUACAGGCUGUUUGUAACUUGGUCAUUCAUAACUCAGGGACUGCCUUUAUGCCAAAUUAUUUGAUUGUACACCUGAAAAUACUGAAAAAGGCUUUUUUCUUCUCCUUCCCCAAGUAAUCUUUAGUAAGUCUCUAAAUGCAAAUCAAGUGGCUAUUUUUAAUUAUUACUUUACUUAGCUAGGUUUAUAUGGCAGCCAUCAUACCAGCAAGCAAACCAUUUGGCUUAAAAGUUACAUUGUAGAACAGGAUUAUGCUAUUGCUGAUUCUGAAACAAUUCUGUGCUUGCAUUGUUACCAAGAUAUUCUUGAAUCUCUUAGAUUAAGUUUAACAUUUUUAAGUGUAGCUGCAGUAGUAUCUCAGUUCUGCUGCACCUAUUUUUGAAAAAUGCUGCAUGUAGUUAUGUAAUUAAUGCAUUUAAUUUUAAAUUUACUUUUUUACUGGAUUGGGUGUUUGUCAUGUCCCUUGGAAUAAGUCCAUAAAGGAACAAUAUCAAAUUCUUGAGUGCAGAUUGAGAAUGUGCACUAGAACUAAAUUUCAGUAAUGUUAACUCACCUUUAGUAUGUUAUGCUAUGCUAGUCGCGAAGUCAUGUCUGACCCAUUGCGACCCCAUGGACAACAUUCCUCCCGGCCUUCCUGUCUUCCACCAUCCCCCCGAGUCCACUAAAGCUCACACCUACUGCUUCAGUGACUCCAUCUAGCCACCUCAUUCUCUGCCGUGUCCUUCUUCUUUUGCCUUUUAUUGUUCAUGAGUAUAUAUUUAACAUCAUAGCCUAUGAUUCUAAUUAUAUUUAGCUUGGAAAAAUAUGUUUUUAAUCCAUAUACUAACAUAAGUAUUGUGUCAUAUGCUGCUCUAAAAAUACAAUUCAUGCUUACCAAGAGAAGAGGCUAACACUUCUAAAAUAAUACAUAUUUUACUUUGUCAUUAUUGACUGUGGUUUGAGAGUGAUAACAUAGGCUUUAUCAGUUAUUUUAAAAUGUAUUCAGUAUAUUUUAGUAUUAAGUAUGUUUUUAAGUCAUUGCCAAAGCUUGGCUUCCAGAAUUACCAGCAGUCAGUAUACAAAGUACAGUACACUAAAACAGUUAGAACACUGGACCAGAUUUAAAUCUAUACUUUGCUGCAUUUUUUAAAAAGUCUGGGCCAGUCUCUAUCUCUCAGCUCAGCCAACUUCACAGGGUUGCUGUGAGGAUAAAGGGAGAACAUCAUGUAUACUGCUAUCUUGAGUACCUUGAAGGGCAGGAUAAGCAGACGGUGGUAAUACUACUGUUGCAUUUUUAUUGAUACAAAAUGAUAUUUGAGCUUUUGUCAAGCUGUGGCAUAUUAUUGGUUAUUAAUGUUGUAGCUAGAAAACAAUAAUGUUAAUGAUGGCUUUACCACUCCUGACAUCCUACAAUAAGUCUGUUUCUGCUUAGUGGUAUAAUAAUGGUUGCUAUUAAAACAGUUAAUCAUAAGAAAAAUUGAUGGAUGGGUUAGAGUGCUGUUUGAAUAAUUUUUCAUGUCACUUAAACCCUAAUGUAAAAUUAAUUAUAUGUAUUUGCCACAGUCCAUUUGUUGUUCUUAAGAGCAGAAUGUUAAUUAACUGAUACCAUAACUAUUAAAAUGAAUAAAACUGAUGAUCUAAUGUUGAAUUCUGAUGCAAAACCAAAUAGUUCGAUGCUGUUAUCAAAGGUCACUGCUAUUUGAGGAUAAUCUUGUGAAUCAAAUUAAUGUGAUCAGUAGAGAUAUGAAUUUUAUUUUGUUCAAAUAAUCUGUGAUCUGAUAACACAGUAAAUUAAAAUGAUCAACACAAGUUUUGUAGAAUUUUCCAAGGCUGUUUCCUUUAUUUCAGUGAGGAACACAGUUGAUAACUCUUCCCUGUCAUCAAUAGUUAUAAAAGCUGCUAAACUAAAAUAGUACUUAUGCCAGAUCUUAUUUAAUACAUUGUAUAGAUUAAGAUCAGUAAGUAAAGGUUUUUGAACAUUACUAUUUGAUUAUAAAUACUCAAGUUGUAGAGGCUACUAUAAUCAGAUAUUGGAAACAUUUGUAUUAAAUGUUGAUCUGAAAACAGCACUUAUAAAGGUGACUGUGAAAAGGAAGAUGGUGUUUUGGUAUAUUUUCUGGGGUGUUUACAUACCAUAUGGUGGAUGCUCAUUUGCUCACUGUGUACCCUUACUUGUAGUACAGAAAUGUCCUCUUCUACUUCAUACUAAUUAUAAAAGUCAGUAAAAAUGUGGGCCUUCUGCUCAUGAAUUCAUUUCAGUGUCACUGUUACUUCUCAAAAGUACAAGAAGAGCUCUGUUUUUUAUUUUUAAAAAAUUCUUAACAUAUACAAAUACAUUAAAAAAAAUAAAACGGAACAACCUAAAAUGAACAGAGCAAACUAAGAUGAACAAAAUAAGCAAAGUUGCCAAGGGAAUUUUAAACACAUUCAACCUAUACAUUCAAUCCCCCAAAACUAUCUAUCUUCCAUCUUUCAACACUGUGAGAGUUUAACAGGAAAAGAAAAACUAUUAACCUAUGCUGUAGUGACAAAUCAUCCUAUCACUUCACGUCCUCUGCUGCUUUUUUCUUUUUCAAACUCCCCACAAUUCCCAUUAGUCAUACUGAACAUAAUAAAAUUUCCAUUUACCAUUGAAUUCUUCUAAUGAUCUUCUGUUCACAUAGUUAACUUUGCCAUCUUGGCACAUUCUACUACUCUUAUUUCUCCAUUCUUCAAUUGUUGGGGGCUGCAAUGAUUUCGAUUUAGAAGCCAUUGUGAUUCUUGCUGCUGCUGUUAUAUACUUGAAUAACUGACAUAUUUUUGAAAGGAUCUCUAGCAGUAUAUUCAAAAGCGUAUUCUUGGGACUCAUAGGAAACUUAGUCUUGAAAUUUUUCUGUAUUUCCACAUGUGAAAUAACCAAAAAAAAAGAAAAAAAAAAAAGGAAAGGAAAUUGAUACAAGUCCACCCCAUAUGAUAGAAAGUUCCAUCCACCCUGCUACAUUUCCAGCAUUUUGCAUUGUAAUUCUUGUCUAUUUUUUCAAUAUCUUUUGGAGUGAUGUGCCACUGAUAAAACAUCUUGCACCAA